GUCGUCUAUGGGUAACAGACGUCUCCUGAUCUCGCGAUUUACUUAGACAUGUACGAUUAGGUCAGAAAUUUGGACAUAUCAAACUUGAUUCUUCUUAAGAAAAGAAAUCUACUAAAACUUGAGAAGCAUAUAUUAUAUUGAUCAAGACAACGCAUAAGAAGAUGAGUUUCAAAAUAAGCUUGUUAUUCAUGCUUGUCACCUUCAGCACGUUUAGCACGGUAUACAUGCGUCCAUCAAAAAGAGAGGAAUCCCGUUCACGACCUGCUUUUUGUAAUACUUUUCGUGACUAUGGUGAAAGGUGCAGAUGGUGGUCUUCUUGCGCCGAGCAGUUGAGAUAUUGGUAUAAUACGAGUAACAGAAAAUGUGAAGUUUUUUUAUACGGUGGUUAUGGAGGAAAUCAAAAUAAUUUUCUAACGGAGGACCUGUGUAUUGAUUCGUGUCAGGAUGAUGUAGAUUUCGAGUUGCACCUUUGAUAUAAAAUUGUUAAGAAUUUUUCAUAUAUUAAUAUGUAUUUAUAAUAGUUUGAUAUUGACUUUAAAUAGAAUUAACUAAAUGAAAGACUUUGUGUAGUUUUUAUAAAAUGCUUGUAAAAGUGUCUUAUUUUUACAAUAAAUGACUGUAAUAAAAUAAAA